rnacentral:rRNA from 1 species
AUUGAACGCUGGCGGCAUGCCUUACACAUGCAAGUCGAACGGUAACAGGUCUUCGGAUGCUGACGAGCGGCGAACGGGUGAGUAAUACAUCGGAACGUGCCUAGUAGUGGGGGAUAACUACUCGAAAGAGUGGCUAAUACCGCAUGAGAUCUACGGAUGAAAGCAGGGGAUCGCAAGACCUUGCGCUACUAGAGCGGCCGAUGGCAGAUUAGGUAGUUGGUGGGAUAAAAGCUUACCAAGCCGACGAUCUGUAGCUGGUCUGAAAGGACGAUCAGCCACACUGGGACUGAGAAACGGCCCAGACUCCUACGGGAGGCAGCAGUGGGGAAUUUUGGACAAUGGGCGCAAGCCUGAUCCAGCAAUGCCGCGUGCAGGAUGAAGGCCUUCGGGUUGUAAACUGCUUUUGUACGGAACGAAAAGCCCCGGGUUAAUACCCUGGGGUCAUGACGGUACCGUAAGAAUAAGCACCGGCUAACUACGUGCCAGCCGCCGCGGUAAGAC